CAACCAACCAAAUUACAAACCAACAACUGUCUUAUCUUUUGGCUUUUUCGAGUUUUGACCUCAGUCAAAUGCACACUUAUCAUGGUCUGUUUGUUUGCCUAGAAAACUGAGAAAAGUGUAGGGAAAACCACUUCGAAAAUCCUGUCUUCAUUUUCUCUUCCUUUCCCACUGUUUUCCUGGCACUCGAAUGGAGCAUCAGCAGAGACAUCCCCCGUGGAACGUUUUCGGGCUAUGUGUGCCUGUAUUGUAAUCACUAACCAUCUACUCUCUUCCCGAAUGUAGAGUAUAAUUGAGUUGACAAAUUAAAGCAAGGGUGGACAAAAUUGAGGGCCUCUUGCACCUAAUCAGGCUGCAGAAUAUUUUCAUUUACGAAGCUUAAACUUAAAUCUUGUUGUUUCAAGGCUCUACUGCAUUGAGUAAAAUGUUGCAGAAACAGGAAGGCUUAUGUUGAUAAAUGUGUUGAAGGCAUGAAUAUCGAUUAUGAGCUGCUCUGACAUUAUAUAUCCUACCAUUUUAGAUACGUGGCAGGACUGAGCUGACUGUACAUUUGGCAGAAAGCUGAUCACUACAAUGCUAUGCCGAACAGACCGAACCUUUUGAUUUGUUGCUAUACAAGUUGACUUUUAAAAUCUUUCUCAUGCUCUAGCAUCAGCUCUUGCAUUAAAAUUAGCUUUGGGUUCAGGUAAAUGACUUUUUCCAACGGCUGAAGCCAGAGACAGGUUCUAAGAAGAAAUAGACCAGUCAUAUUCUGAUGAGGUGUUCUUCUCAAUACGGUAGACAAAUUCACAUCACUGCUAUGUAAAGAAUGUCCAAACAAUUGCAUGUUUCUAUUGUCCAAGUUUGGCUCUUUACCUGUUGGUUGAGUACUAGAACUUGCUCUCAAAAUGUUUUCAUACAUUUGGCAGAGUUGAGGUAUACCAUACAUGGUUUUGUUUGAUUGCUUAUGACACAAGCACAUUUCUAGAUUUCUUGUCUUGAUUUCACAACCAACUAUUAUUUGCUUAUCAAUUUCCAUGAUGUAGGAUCUUAUCUGAGAGGCCCUCAUAUUGUAUGUGUAUUCUGACAGUGUCAUGUUGUAUUGAAGUUGACUUUGACUAGAUCAUAGGGCUAGGUCCAAUUUUUUUAGCAAUAAUAUGAGAAACCUACCCCCAAAAAAUAAAUAAUAAAAAUAUGGAAAUAAAAAAUUAUAAGAAACUGAAUCCUUCAAAUCUGACUGAAAAAGUUUUGGGGCAUUCCGAGAAUCGAACUCGGGACCUCUCGCACCCAAAGCGAGAAUCAUACCACUAGACCAAAUGCCCGUUUCUUGAUGUGUAUUUUAUUUAAAUGUUAAUUAAUGUCUUCUCCUAUUGCUCCUGAUAAUUUUAAAGUGAGUUGUAGCCACUCCAGUGGAUCAAACAUUUUCUAUUGUCAGGCCUUUUGGCAGUUCUUAUUUCCAUGCCUCUAGUGGAUGGAAUGCAAAAAACUGAAUAGAAAUGCUCUAGAGUGGAUUCCUUUUCUUUUCCCCAAUUGCUAGAGACAAAAGCAGGGAUGUUUAUAUGUCAAUAUGUGUGUAUAAAUGCACAGACACACAUGUAUAUGUUUAUUUUCAUUGUGACAAAUGAAUAAAAUGCCACAAAUGACAUUAGUAGGCACCAAA